rnacentral:rRNA from 1 species
UGUCGUCAGCUCGUGUUGUGAAAUGUUGGGUUAAGUCCCGCAACGAGCGCAACCCUUAUCCUUUGUUGCCAGCGGUUAGGCCGGGAACUCAAAGGAGACUGCCAGUGAUAAACUGGAGGAAGGUGGGGAUGACGUCAAGUCAUCAUGGCCCUUACGACCAGGGCUACACACGUGCUACAAUGGCAUAUACAAAGAGAAGCGACCUCGCGAGAGCAAGCGGACCUCAUAAAGUAUGUCGUAGUCCGGAUUGGAGUCUGCAACUCGACUCCAUGAAGUCGGAAUCGCUAGUAAUCGUGGAUCAGAAUGCCACGGUGAAUACGUUCCCGGGCCUUGUACACACCGCCCGUCACACCAUGGGAGUGGGUUGCAA